GACGAACGCUGGCGGCGUGCCUAAUACAUGCAAGUAGAACGCUGAAGGAGGAGCUUGCUUCUCUGGAUGAGUUGCGAACGGGUGAGUAACGCGUAGGUAACCUGCCUGGUAGCGGGGGAUAACUAUUGGAAACGAUAGCUAAUACCGCAUAAGAGUAGAUGUUGCAUGACAUUUGCUUAAAAGGUGCAAUUGCAUCACUACCAGAUGGACCUGCGUUGUAUUAGCGAGUUGGUGGGGUAACGGCUCACCAAGGCGACGAUACAGAGCCGACCUGAGAGGGGGGUCGGCCACCCUGGGACUGUGACCCGGCCCAGUCUCCUUCGGGAGGCAGCCGUAGGGAAUCUUCGGGCAUGGGCGGAAGUCUGAGCGCGCAACGCCGCGUGAGUGAAGAAGGUUUUCGGGUCGUAAAGCUCUGUUGUAAGGGAAGAACGAGUGUGAGAGUGGAAAGUUCACACUGUGACGGUAUCUUACCAGAAAGGGACGGCUAACUACGUG
rnacentral:rRNA from 1 species